GUUUUUUUGAAACAAACCUACUUCCUCAAAAACAGCACGUCACACAGCGGGUUCAGACUUUACAGACCGUGGGAAACGUUUUGAUUCCCGGACGAGGACAGAGACUUCUUCCUACGUCGGUCGUCCCGCAGCAGCCAGCGGGAGAAGGGGGAAGUUUGGCUGUCUACAGGAGAACUGUGAUCAGCAGAGACUUCAACACGUAGGCAUCAUCAUCAUCAUCAUUGAUAUUACUGGACAACAUCUGUUUAGUCUUGAGAUGUUUAAAGUGAAAAACAAAUAUUUAUGUGGAAUAUUUGCAAUGUUUGAUUUGAAACAAAUCCAAAAAAUGAUCAAAUAAAUCUUCAGAUCAGAUUA